CAAUAUUUAAAUUAUUUCUGUUUUUCAGAAGUCUGGAAAAGUAAUUGUUGUCUUGGUUAUAUUGGUUACAAACUGAACCUCACUUCUUGUUAUGGAUGACCUUGGACCAUGAUGGAAAGCAGUAUUCUCCAAACUAGAGAUGUUUGCCCUCACUGAUAUGGGGACGAGGCUUCUCCUACAUCUGCUCAGCAUCAAGGUGGUCCUGAAGUAGCUCCACAUAUGAAUGGUCUUUUCGUCUCCAGUUUUCCCAAAAAUGCCUGUACAGCUGAGUCUGUGGUUCCACCAGAGGAAGAGUUGGCAGCUGAGGACACUCCAUCCUGGGGGACUCCCUACAUCUCUGUGCAAGGACACACCCAUCUCAGGUGUCCCUUGGUGGCUGUUCCCUUGGGGGAGUUCAGGGCAUCCCACCUCAUUCCAGAGAGGGAGCCCAGUGCUAAACUGGGGCAUUGGCA
rnacentral:lncRNA from 12 species